CCUCCCUCCUCUCCAGCCCCAAGAUGACUUUCUGCUACCAGCGGCAGUGUGAGGAACCCUGCUACUCCCCCUGCAGCUACGGCACCGUCUGCAGCACCCGCAGCUACGACUGCGGCAGCCCUUGCGGCUACCAGGGCUACUACGGGAGGCUCUGUGGCUACCGCGAGUACUGCCCGAGCUUCAGCUCCCGCUACUGCUCGCCCUACUCCUCCCGCUACUUCCAGAGAUACUCCUACGGCAGCUGCUACCCCUGCUACCAGUGCUGAGCCCAGCCCGGGCAGGGAAAACCCCAAAACCCGCCCUGAAGGCUCCUGGCUGGAUUGAUUUUACUCCUGGGUGGAUUUUGCUCCUGGGUGGAUUUUGCUCCAUCUCAUCUCCGGUUCCCUGAGGGUUUGGGAUCUCUUCCAUGAUGUUACUCUGAUUAAUUCACUUAUUUUUGCUGUUCCUUCUCUUUUGGGAUGAGGUUUUUGUGUGUCCGGAGGAGCUGGCUGUGCUGACAGCUCUGCUUCUCUGCUACACCAGCUUUACUCCCCAAAGUUCUGCUCUGGGGUGUAGCUACUCCUCAGUGUAUGAUGGCGUGAACCUCCUGUGCUACAACGAGCUGUAACUUCUUACUCUCAUUAAAAGAUCUUG